rnacentral:rRNA from 1 species
GGGUUGUGAGGUUAAGCGACUAAGCGUACACGGUGGAUGCCUAGGCAGUCAGAGGCGAUGAAGGGCGUGCUAAUCUGCGAAAAGCGUCGGUAAGCUGAUAUGAAGCGUUAUAACCGACGAUACCCGAAUGGGGAAACCCAGUGCAAUACGUUGCACUAUCGUUAGAUGAAUACAUAGUCUAACGAGGCGAACCGGGGGAACUGAAACAUCUAAGUACCCCGAGGAAAAGAAAUCAACCGAGAUUCCCCCAGUAGCGGCGAGCGAACGGGGAGGAGCCCAGAGUCUGAAUCAGUUUGUGUGUUAGUGGAAGCGUCUGGAAAGUCGCACGGUACAGGGUGAUAGUCCCGUACACCAAAAUGCACAGGCUGUGAACUCGAUGAGUAGGGCGGGACACGUGACAUCCUGUCUGAAUAUGGGGGGACCAUCCUCCAAGGCUAAAUACUCCUGACUGACCGAUAGUGAACCAGUACCGUGAGGGAAAGGCGAAAAGAACCCCGGCGAGGGGAGUGAAAUAGAACCUGAAACCGUGUACGUACAAGCAGUGGGAGCACCUUCGUGGUGUGACUGCGUACCUUUUGUAUAAUGGGUCAGCGACUUAUAUUUUGUAGCAAGGUUAACCGAAUAGGGGAGCCGUAGGGAAACCGAGUCUUAACUGGGCGUCUAGUUGCAAGGUAUAGACCCGAAACCCGGUGAUCUAGCCAUGGGCAGGUUGAAGGUUGGGUAACACUAACUGGAGGACCGAACCGACUAAUGUUGAAAAAUUAGCGGAUGACUUGUGGCUGGGGGUGAAAGGCCAAUCAAACCGGGAGAUAGCUGGUUCUCCCCGAAAGCUAUUUAGGUAGCGCCUCGUGAACUCAUCUUCGGGGGUAGAGCACUGUUUCGGCUAGGGGGCCAUCCCGGCUUACCAAACCGAUGCAAACUCCGAAUACCGAAGAAUGUUAUCACGGGAGACACACGGCGGGUGCUAACGUCCGUCGUGAAGAGGGAAACAACCCAGACCGCCAGCUAAGGUCCCAAAGUCAUGGUUAAGUGGGAAACGAUGUGGGAAGGCACAGACAGCCAGGAUGUUGGCUUAGAAGCAGCCAUCAUUUAAAGAAAGCGUAAUAGCUCACUGGUCGAGUCGGCCUGCGCGGAAGAUGUAACGGGGCUAAACCAUGCACCGAAGCUGCGGCAGCGACACUUAGGUGUUGUUGGGUAGGGGAGCGUUCUGUAAGCCGUUGAAGGUGACCUGUGAGGGUUGCUGGAGGUAUCAGAAGUGCGAAUGCUGACAUAAGUAACGAUAAUGCGGGUGAAAAACCCGCACGCCGGAAGACCAAGGGUUCCUGUCCAACGUUAAUCGGGGCAGGGUGAGUCGACCCCUAAGGCGAGGCUGAAAAGCGUAGUCGAUGGGAAACAGGUUAAUAUUCCUGUACUUGGUGUUACUGCGAAGGGGGGACGGAGAAGGCUAGGCUGGCCGGGCGACGGUUGUCCCGGUUUAAGCGUGUAGGGGGAGUGACCAGGUAAAUCCGGUUGCUUAUCAACCCUGAGGCGUGAUGACGAUGCACCACGGUGCAGAAGCAGUUGAUGCCAUGCUUCCAGGAAAAGCCUCUAAGCAUCAGGUAACAUUAAAUCGUACCCCAAACCGACACAGGUGGUCAGGUAGAGAAUACUCAGGCGCUUGAGAGAACUCGGGUGAAGGAACUAGGCAAAAUGGUGCCGUAACUUCGGGAGAAGGCACGCUGGCGUUAGGUGAAAGGACUAGCUCCUGGAGCUGAAGCCAGUCGCAGAUACCAGCUGGCUGCAACUGUUUAAUAAAAACACAGCACUGUGCAAACACGAAAGUGGACGUAUACGGUGUGACGCCUGCCCGGUGCUGGAAGGUUAAUUGAUGGGGUCAGCCGCAAGGCGAAGCUCUUGAUCGAAGCCCCAGUAAACGGCGGCCGUAACUAUAACGGUCCUAAGGUAGCGAAAUUCCUUGUCGGGUAAGUUCCGACCUGCACGAAUGGCGUAAUGAUGGCCAGGCUGUCUCCACCCGAGACUCAGUGAAAUUGAACUCGCUGUGAAGAUGCAGUGUACCCGCGGCAAGACGGAAAGACCCCGUGAACCUUUACUAUAGCUUGACACUGAACAUUGAGCCUUGAUGUGUAGGAUAGGUGGGAGGCCUUGAAGUGUGGACGCCAGUCUGCAUGGAGCCAACCUUGAAAUACCACCCUUUAAUG